rnacentral:rRNA from 1 species
ACGGUGGAGUAUGUGGUUAAUUCGACGCAACGCGCAGAACCUUACCUAGACUUGACGAUCCCGGGGUAUUUUCUGGAAACAGAGAAGUGCUUAGCAAUAAAGAACCCGGUGACAGGUGCUGCAUGGCUGUCGUCAGCUCGUGUCGUGAGAUGUUGGGUUAAGUCCCGCAACGAGCGCAACCCUUGUCUUUAGUUGCCAUCAUUAAGUUGGGCACUCUAAAGAGACUGCCGGUGUCAAACCGGAGGAAGGUGGGGAUGACGUCAAGUCCUCAUGGCCUUUAUGACCAGGGCUACACACGUACUACAAUGGCAGGUACAAAGGGCAGCCACUUAGCGAUAAGGAGCGAAUCCCGUAAAACCUGUCUCAGUCCGGAUUGGAGUCUGCAACUCGACUCCAUGAAGUUGGAAUCGCUAGUAAUCGCAGAUCAGCACGCUGCGGUGAAUACGUUCCCGGGCCUU